GCUAGUAUAAAAGUAUUGAAUACCACAUUUAGAAAACAGGGUUCAAUCCUUUGUUAUUACUGUACAGUAAUUUCAGACAUGUUGAACUCUUUGUGAUCCUGCUUGGGAUUGUCUUGGCAGAGACACUGGAAUGGUUUCCCAUUUCCUUCUCCAGUUCAUUUUAUAGAUGAGAAAACUAAGGCAAACAGGGUUAAAUGACUUGCCUAGGGUCCCACAGCUAGUAAGUACCUGAGACUGUAUUUUAACUCAAGUCCUCUUGAUUCCAAGCCCAACACUCAUCCCCUGUGUCACCAAGCUGCUCUAUCUAAUUCUUACUGGGCCAUUUAAUAAUUGUGUAACUUGUAAAAAUUAUCUUACUUGGCUGAGCUUUGGCUUUCUUAUCUAUGAAGUGAUGAGGUUGGAUAUGAUAUUCUUUAGGAUCCCUUCCAUCUUGAAAGUUUUAUUAUUUUUUAUUAUUCCCAUUGAGUAUAAAGAGCUAUUUGUAGGCAGAGGUGGUUUUGUUUUCCUUUGUAUCUCUAGCACUUCACACAGAGCCAGGCACAUAGUGGGAACUAAAUAAAUGCUUGUUGAAUUUGAUUGAAUUCUAUAGAGGACCCUUCAUGGUUUACAAAGAGCUGUUCUCUUAAGGAACCUGUAAAAGAGGCUAUUCAAGACUUAUCUCCAUUUUACAGACAAGAAGACUAGGGCUCAUCGAGGGCAAAUGACUUUCUCCAGGUCUUGCAACUCAUACAUGGUCGAGACCUGAUUUGAAUCCCAGCAUUCUGAUUCAGAAUCCAAAGCUCUAUUAUUACCCUGUAUUGGAGAACUGCUGAAAGAUGGAAAGAAGUUGGCAAAAGAUGGCUUUGGAGUGGGGAGAUUAUUGGAUCAGUGGUUUUAUACUACAGCGGCAGAAGCUCAUAUCUGGAAUUUCAUCACCAUUCAGUAGAUGUUUCUAAUUUUAAAAAUUCCUCCCACCCUUUCAUGAGAAAAGUAUGAUUCUAUGGUAUUAUAAAAAAAGAAUUACUUUACAGUGGCAACAGUAUUGGAAUUGCCAUCAAAAAACUUAGCUUUGAGUUUCUGUCGCUCACUGGAGGCUAAGAUUCCUCACUUUGAACAUAGAAAUAAAAAUUCUUGCCUUAUCCCUUUCAUAGGACUAUUCUGGAGAUCAAGUUAGAUUAAGAGACCACAAUGUGCAAGAAACUUUGUGAGAUGUCCAAUUAUAUAAGACAUGGUUGCUGCUCUCCCAGAAUGCCACAAAUGAGAAUGGUCAUCCAUCAGGUCUUCCACUAGUUACUGAGUACUGUGCCUGAGGACCAAAUGUUUGCCACUCUGCUCCAGAUAUCCCUCUAAUUUUUUAAGUUUCAGAGAAGAUGGCAGCCUGCAUUGAUGGAAGGAGUUUUCUCACCUGGGAGUUUCCUAUCCCAAUAAAUUCACAUAUCUAGUUCUAAUCCUUAUCCCUAUGUAUUAUACAUGUAUAACUUAAAUGAUAUGUGUCUAUAUCAAAGUAAAAUUGUAUGUCAUAAAUGUGUAUGUUUCCUAAGUACAUAUUGACAGAGACCCCUUUUAUCCCAGAAGUCCAAAGAAAAUGUCCAAACCACUCCCAUAUCCAGAGAUCUUUAGGAUAUACAAAGCAAUUUUCUCACAAUAAUUCUAGGAGGUGUGUUACCUGACUCACCCAAGGACACAGAAGAUAACGAUUGAAAUAGUUUCCUGCUUCGAAGUUCCCUGAUUUUUCUACCCCUAUGCUUUUGUGCCUCUCAAAACAAAGUGCUUUUAGAUCCUUGAAGAGGGGCGUCUUUUCAAGAUGAAAAUAUCAUUCAGUGAAUAAUCUCAUAAGAUGGGAGCAGAGAAUAUAGGGAGUCAGCAUGAAGUAAGGCUGGAAGUGUAGAUUUUGAAUUUCUUGAUGAGACACUUUAAAAAAAUCUACUAUUUGAUUUCUCCUCCCCACAGACUCUAGAAUCUUUCUUUUAUAAAUCUUAUGACUGGCCAAUCACGAAGACUUGUGAAUCUCAGUCUUAAAGGGUACUAACCACCUAUUAGCUUCAUGCCAAAAAAAACUUACUGAUUUGCAGAACUGAGUAGAUGCUUCUAAAGCACUUUGAAGCUGAAGAACCCUAAGGGAGGAAUGAAGAUCCAGGAAAAUGUGAGCUGGGGGGCAGGCACACUGACAUCCCUUAGCUGUGCCAAGACGUCACUUUUCUGACUAGACUCAAGGUUAGCCCUUGAGGUUCAGAUGUCUCUUAGAAGGACAAGUUCAUUUCAAAUUCUUCUUCAGAGUUUAGAUAUACUUGAAAUAAAAUAUGGCAAACAAAACUGAUUAAACUAGGGCCUCAUGGUGGAUCAAUGCUCCCCCAAAAGACCCCUAAAAUUGCCACUUAGAGACAAAAUAGGAAAAAAAAAUGUUUGACAUAGUUGUGAAGAAAUCUGGGUUAGAGUUCCAAUUCUCUCCCUGACCAACCUGAGCAAGUCAUAAUAUCUUUGGAUUUUGGUUCCCUAAUUACUCAAUCAACUAGCAUUUUUAAGUGUUUACCAUGUGUCAGGUACUUUGCUAAGUGUUAGGGAUUAAAAGUAAAAGAGAAAAUAGCAUCUGUCUUUAAGUGGUUUAUAUUCUAGUGGUAGAAUAUAUACAUAUAUUGGUAAUAAUAAGAGAAAUGUAGAAUUCUAGGUUUCUAAUUUCUUUGGAUCAAGAACAAGCUAAGCACGGUCCAGACCCUAAGGUCACAGAAGAGUUCA